AUUCCAGCUCCAAUAGCGUAUAUUAAAGUUGUUGCAGUUAAAACGCUCGUAGCCGGAUUUCGGGGCGGGCCGACCGGUCUGCCGAUGGGUAUGCACUGGCCGGCGCGUCCUUCCACCCGGAGACCGCGCCUACUCUAAACUGAGCGGGCGCGGGAGACGGGUCUUUUACUUUGAAAAAAUCAGAGUGUUUCAAGCAGGCAGUCGCUCUUGCAUGGAUUAGCAUGGGAUAAUGAAAUAGGACUCUGGUGCUAUUUUGUUGGUUUCGAACACCGGAGUAAUGAUUAACAGGGACAGUCAGGGGCACUCGUAUUCCGCCGAGAGAGGUGAAAUUCUCAGACCAGCGGAAGACGAACCACUGCGAAAGCAUUUGCCAGGGAUGUUUUCAUCA
rnacentral:rRNA from 1 species